rnacentral:siRNA from 1 species
UCCCUUAGUAACGGCGAGCGA